rnacentral:rRNA from 1 species
AUUGAACGCUGGCGGCAGGCUUAACACAUGCAAGUCGAGCGGAGAGAGGUAGCUUGCUACUGAUCUUAGCGGCGGACGGGUGAGUAAUGCUUAGGAAUCUGCCUAUUAGUGGGGGACAACAUUUCGAAAGGAAUGCUAAUACCGCAUACGUCCUACGGGAGAAAGCAGGGGAUCUUCGGACCUUGCGCUAAUAGAUGAGCCUAAGUCGGAUUAGCUAGUUGGUGGGGUAAAGGCCUACCAAGGCGACGAUCUGUAGCGGGUCUGAGAGGAUGAUCCGCCACACUGGGACUGAGACACGGCCAGACUCCUACGGGAGGCAGCAGUGGGGAAUAUUGGACAAUGGGCGGAAGCCUGAUCUAGCCAUGCCGCGUGUGUGAAGAAGGCCUUAUGGUUGUAAAGCACUUUAAGCGGGGAGGAGGCUACUUUAGUUAAUACCUAGAGAUAGUGGACGUUACUCGCAGAAUAAGCACCGGCUAACUCUGUGCCAGCAGCCGCCGUAAAAC